rnacentral:misc_RNA from 1 species
GAUGAAGAACGCAGCGAAAUGCGAUAAGUAAUGUGAAUUGCAGAAUUCAGUGAAUCAUCGAGUCUUUGAACGCACAUUGCGCCCCCUGGCAUUCCGGGGGGCAUGCCUGUCCGAGCGUCAUUGCUGCCCUUCAAGCCCGGCUUGUGUGUUGGGUCGUCGUCCCCCCCGGGGGACGGGCCCGAAAGGCAGCGGCGGCACCGCGUCCGGUCCUCGAGCGUAUGGGGCUUUGUCACCCGCUCGAUUAGGGCCGGCCGGGCGCCAGCCGGCGUCUCCAACCUUUUAUUUUACCAGGUUGACCUCGGAUCAGGUAGGGAUACCCGCUGAACUUAAGCAUAUCAAUAAGCGGAGGA